AAAAGGCUCUAUCUUCUUCCUUCUUCAAUUUCUUCAUCAAUCAAGAUUUUCAACAAUGGCGCAAACACUAGCAACUCCUGUACUUCCUUCUCUUUCCCUUAUCUGCAACACAUCUUCCAUCUCCAAGCACAGUUCCCUCUCUUUUUCUACUCCCACAUCUUUUCCAAAGACUGCAGGUUUGGUUAUAAAGUGUGUGCGUGUGGGAGGAGUGGAAGUUCCAAACAACAAAAGAGUUGAGUUCUCUUUGCAAUACAUUCAUGGAAUUGGCCGCACCACUGCACGCCAGAUUCUGGUAGACCUUCAAAUGGAGAACAAAGUGAUGAAAGACAUGUCGGAAGAGGAACUUAUCACUCUUCGUGAAGAAGUCUCUAAGUACAUGAUUGAAGG
rnacentral:misc_RNA from 1 species